rnacentral:rRNA from 1 species
UACGUAGGGGGCAAGCGUUGUCCGGAUUUACUGGGCGUAAAGAGCGUGUAGGCGGCCACGCAGGUCCGUUGUGAAAACUGGAGGCUCAACCUCUAGCUGUCGACGGAAACCGUAUGGCUAGAGUCCGGAAGAGGAGAGUGGAAUUCCUGGUGUAGCGGUGAAAUGCGCAGAUAUCAGGAAGAACACCAAUGGCGAAGGCAGCUCUCUGGGACGGUACUGACGCUGAGACGCGAAAGCGUGGGGAGCGAACAGG